rnacentral:rRNA from 1 species
GACAGAGGGUGCAAACGUUGUUCGGAAUUACUGGGCGUAAAGCGUGUGUAGGCGGCCAUGUAAGUCAGGUGUGAAAGCCCCGGGCUUAACCCGGGAAGUGCACUUGAAACUGCGUGGCUUGAGUAUCGGAGAGGUUGGUGGAAUUCUCGGUGUAGAGGUGAAAUUCGUAGAUAUCGAGGGGAACACCGGUGGCGAAGGCGGCCAACUGGACGAAUACUGACGCUGAGACGCGAAAGCGUGGGGAGCGAACAGG